rnacentral:rRNA from 1 species
CGGUCGCAAGCCCUCAAAUGAAUUGCGGGGGCCCGCACAAGCGGUGGAGCAUGUGGUUUAUUCCAUGCAACGCGAAGAACCUUACCUACUCUUGACAUCCAGAGAACUUUCCAGAGAUGGAUUGGGCCUUCGGGAACUCUGAGACAGGUGCUGCAUGGCUGUGUCAGCUCGUGUUGUGAAAUGUUGGGUUAAGUCCCGCAACGAGCGCAACCCUUAUCCUUGUUUGCCAGCGAUAAUGUCUGGAACUCCAGGGAGACUGCCGGGGAUAAACCGGAGAAGGUGGGGACGACGUCAAUCAUCAUGGCCCUUACGAGUAGGGCUACACACGUGCUACAAUGGCGCAUACAGAGGGCAGCCAACUUGCGAAAGUGAGCGAAUCCCAAAAAGUGCGUCGUAGUCCGGAUUGGAGUCUGCAACUCGACU